CGCAAUGACUUCCUCUUGCCAAUGGAGGGGCUCCCGGUCCUCCAGAUCACCGAGCCGGCUUUCUAGAGCAGCCCCUGUAGAGGCGCCACCCGGAAGUUCAGGCUCCCAGAGGGUACCCAAGCGUGCUUUCGGUAAAGCUCGCCCUCCUCCUUCUACUCUGAGGCUGGCCUCAGGUGGCUGUCAUUUGACAGGAAAGAUGAAUGAGGCGCAGUGGCUGUCGCAUGAAGGGUCGCAGGGCUGCGUGGUAAGGGAUGAACCCCCAAAGAGCCUGUGGAGAACAUCCUGGACCUAGCCCUGGCUCUAGUUGGUAGAUCGCUACGAAUUUUUAUCCAAAGGAGGCUAUCAUGAGAUCAUCCUCGGGUGCAGGGUACAUGGAUGCCCAGAGAUGAAGCAGCAAGGAUGAUACAUCUUCAGUUACCGCAUUGCGAGAGCAACUGAGAAGUAGAAGAAAGGUAACUGAAGGUUGGAAGAUAUCAAAAGUGGCGUCCUGGUCAGGAGGAGUUGCUGAGCACUCCUGAACUGAGCAUCCUGAACUGACCCCUGGCACAGGCUCCGAUGAGGUCAAGAGAGGGGCCCAGAGCCCAGAAUCCGGACCACAGCUAAAUUUAGUCUCACCGACCUUCGGUGUCCCUGUCCUUUGUGCCCACACCCAUGCCAGUGUUGGAAAAUAUUUUCGUUUUCUUUGAAUAUUACCAUCUACAGGUCCAAAGCCAA